rnacentral:tRNA from 1 species
CAAGACAUAACAUCUGGGAUGUAAUUCACUUACACUGAAAUAUAGAGUUGUUCAAUUCAACUUGUCAUGA